AUGCUAUACUGCAGUCGAGCGGACAGAAGGGAGCUUGCUCCCGGAUGUUAGCGGCGGACGGGUGAGUAACACGUGGGUAACCUGCCUGUAAGACUGGGAUAACUCCGGGAAACCGGAGCUAAUACCGGAUAGUUCCUUGAACCGCAUGGUUCAAGGAUGAAAGACGGUUUCGGCUGUCACUUACAGAUGGACCCGCGGCGCAUUAGCUAGUUGGUGAGGUAACGGCUCACCAAGGCGACGAUGCGUAGCCGACCUGAGAGGGUGAUCGGCCACACUGGGACUGAGACACGGCCCAGACUCCUACGGGAGGCAGCAGUAGGGAAUCUUCCGCAAUGGACGAAAGUCUGACGGAGCAACGCCGCGUGAGUGAUGAAGGUUUUCGGAUCGUAAAGCUCUGUUGUUAGGGAAGAACAAGUGCAAGAGUAACUGCUUGCACCUUGACGGUACCUAACCAGAAAGCCACGGCUAACUACGUGCCAGCAGCCGCGGUAAUACGUAGGUGGCAAGCGUUGUCCGGAAUUAUUGGGCGUAAAGGGCUCGCAGGCGGUUUCUUAAGUCUGAUGUGAAAGCCCCCGGCUCAACCGGGGAGGGUCAUUGGAAACUGGGAAACUUGAGUGCAGAAGAGGAGAGUGGAAUUCCACGUGUAGCGGUGAAAUGCGUAGAGAUGUGGAGGAACACCAGUGGCGAAGGCGACUCUCUGGUCUGUAACUGACGCUGAGGAGCGAAAGCGUGGGGAGCGAACAGGAUUAGAUACCCUGGUAGUCCACGCCGUAAACGAUGAGUGCUAAGUGUUAGGGGGUUUCCGCCCCUUAGUGCUGCAGCUAACGCAUUAAGCACUCCGCCUGGGGAGUACGGUCGCAAGACUGAAACUCAAAGGAAUUGACGGGGGC
rnacentral:rRNA from 1 species